AACUAGCCCCGAUGGAAGCGGCAUCCUUUUUUGGUCUCGUCGAUCAGACGAGACCAAAAAAGAUACAGCGGACAGCGGGAUAAAGC
rnacentral:sRNA from 1 species